UACGUAGGGGGCGAGCGUUGUCCGGAUUUAUUGGGCGUAAAGAGCUCGUAGGCGGUUUGGUAAGUCGGAUGUGAAAUCUCCAGGCUCAACCUGGAGGGGUCAUUCGAGACUGCUAUGACUAGAGUUCGGUAGAGGAGUGUGGAAUUCCUGGUGGAGCGGUGAAAUGCGCAGAUAUCAGGAGGAACACCCGUGGCGAAAGCGGCUCUCUGGGACGGUACUGACGCUGAGACGCGAAAGCGUGGGGAGCAAACAGG
rnacentral:rRNA from 1 species